UACGUAGGCAGCAAGCGUUGUUCGGAGUUACUGGGCGUAAAGGGUGUGUAGGCUGGUAUUUAAGUUUGGUGUGGAAUCUCCCGGCUCAACUGGGAGGGUGCGCCGAAUACUGAAUAACUUCGAGUGCGGGAGAGGAAAGUGGAAUUCCUGGUGUAGCGGUGAAAUGCGUAGAUAUCAGGAGGAACACCGGUGGUGUAGACGGCUUUCUGGACCGUAACUGACGCUGAGACACGAAAGCGUGGGUAGCAAACAGG
rnacentral:rRNA from 1 species